ACGCAGUUUUCUAUCACGCAAGCUAAAGUGUUUUAUUAUAAUAAAGAUUGUUUUUACUACGUAGAUUAAAUUAAAGAAUUAUAUAUGAAUAAUGGAGUUUUAUAUCGAAAAUAGUGAACCUUCCGAUUUCGUCAAAAAUCACUCCAUGGGAAGCCCGGGUGUUGAAAAUCGGAACGGAAAGCUUGCAAUUGGUUGAUUUCCUCCAUUCCGCCUUUCCGAUUUCGUUUUCCGAGGCCAAUGGGAUAGCACCCUAACAGAAGUGCGUGUGGCGGUUGACCUGCCGCCACAUACAGGACAGCCUCCCCCUCCCUCCCCCUUAGGAUUUCUCUCGACUUGCAUUUACACUCCGUCGCCAAGAAAAUAAUUAAGGAAAGCAGAAUGGAUUUCAGCCAACAGUUUUCUUAUAUAGAUGGAACAACUAUUUGAAACACAUCACCUGUGCUUGAACGCAAGAGUUUCAACACAAGAGUUGAUGUACACUUGUUUAAUUAGAAAUUCUGUUCAAUAGGAAAAAUUGAAAUAUUGUGAGAUAUGAUCACUUUUUUAUGAGAUCUAAUGUUAAUAUAAUCAUUUAGUUCUGCACAGGUUUGUUUAGCAGUACAUUAAUGGUAAGUACUCUAAGUAAAAUAAUAUAGUACAGUAAAAUGUGAAAUAAUUAAAAAUUAUUAUGCAUUACGUAUUAAAAAUUUUGCAAGAUUGUAUAAAAAAACUACGUAACUUUAUUUUAAAUGAUUAUUUGUGUUAAAAUCAAAAUUAAAUAAAUAUAUUAUAAGUGUUGUAUAGUUGUUAUAUUAUUUAUAUGCUAUAUAAAAUAGAUAAUUACUAGUCAAAUACUGGUUCUAACAAUUCCUUUUGAUGUAUCUUUUCAGACAAGAAGAUUUUAAAGUGCUUUAGUCUAGCAACAUUAACUCACAGUAUAUUUAACAUGUAUAAACCGAUUUUCAGGAAUUCAUGAACAAUUCUUGGUAAGAAAUUCAUCUUUUAUAUAAUGAUAUAUAAAUACUUUUAUAGAAUAUUUUGUUUAGAGUAAAUAAUGUAAUAUUAAAAUUUGCAUGAAAAUAUAUAUAUUUUUAUGAUAAAUAAUGAUAAAUAU